rnacentral:Y_RNA from 1 species
GGCUGGUCCGAUAGUAGUGAGUUAUCAGAACUUACUAAAUUAGUGUCACUAAAGUUGGUAUUCAACCCCCCACUGCUAAAUUUCACUGGCUAUUA